CAGGGGAUAAAAAUGAAAAGAAAAAAAAGAAGGGGAGAGCUCGGAUUUCUUCUUCGUCUUUUCUCUCUUCCCACUUCCUUCGACUGAAACUUGAGGAAUAAAACUGAAGUUUUUCAUGCAUGAUUAAGAUUGGUGAUCUUGGAGUCCGGUUAAGCUGCAGAUGUUGGUGAUUUGUGUUCGCUAGUUUCAUAGUCGAGAUGGAGAUAUUCUUUUUCUCGUUCUUCAAUUGGAAGUUGUUUGAAGUGAUCAUUCUCUUCACUUAACUGAAUAAGUGAUUCUCAUAAAUCGAUGGGGUGCUCGGUGAAAUGUACGAAUGAUGUUUGAAUUUGGUUUGUGUUGAGUAUAUCAGAUUAAGUGGUUCACUGUAAGUAUAUAUAUAUAUAUAUAUAUAUAAGGAUAGCAUGGUCAGUUUCAAAUAUGAAAAAUUCAUAAAUAAUGAAAUACUGCAUAGUGUAUGUUCUCUUGUUCUUUUA